UACGAAGGGGGCUAGCGUUGCUCGGAAUCACUGGGCGUAACGCGCACGUAUGCGGAUUGUUAAGUCAGGGGUGAAAUCCUGGAGCUCAACUCCAGAACUGCCUUUGAUACUGGCGAUCUCGAGUCCGGGAGAGGUGAGUGGAACUGCGAGUGUAGAGGUGAAAUUCGUAGAUAUUCGCAAGAACACCAGUGGCGAAGGCGGCUCACUGGCCCGGUACUGACGCUGAGGUGCGAAAGCGUGGGGAGCAAACAGG
rnacentral:rRNA from 1 species